rnacentral:rRNA from 1 species
ACGUAGGACCCAAGCGUUAUCCGGAAUUACUGGGCGUAAAGAGUUGCGUAGGUGGUUUGUUAAGUGAAUAGUGAAAUCGUGCGGCUCAACCGUAUACACAUUAUUUAAACUGGCAGACUUGAGUAUGGUAGAGGUCACUGGAAUUCCAAGUGUAGGAGUGAAAUCCGUAGAUAUUUGGAGGAACACCGAUGGCGUAGGCAGGUGACUGGGCCAUUACUGACACUGAGGCACGAAAGCGUGGGGAGCAAACGGGA